GGUGGCUCAGUGGUAGAGUACUUGCCUUGCAUGCAUGUGGCUCUGGGUUCGAUUCCUCAGCACCA
rnacentral:tRNA from 1 species